AAUCCCCUCAGGGAGAAGAAGGAGGACAGGAACAGAGGCCUGAAAAGGGAUCGAAGCCUCCUGGGCCUCCAGAGCCCUCCAGCAACACUGCCCUGCCUGCCUUCGGAUCCCUCAGUUCCUGCUGCCUGAAAAGGCCUGUACUGUCCACCCUGGAUGCAUGUAAACGGGCCUGGAGCCCACUGCCCAGGAGCAGUUUUACAAGGCGGUUUCAAGUUCCAAAUCUUACAUCAUACCGCCAGGAUUUCAAUCCCAUCUCGGCUACUAUCAUCUGUGUUUCCAUCGGAGCAGUUUGUGACCUCCCAGAGCCUUUAUUAUCUCACCUUUUUUUCAUUAUCUCACCUUUAAAAUGGCAUUUCUUAGACUUAAAGCCUCCCUAGCAAUUCUGAGCUAAGCAACACAUCCUCACAAGAUCCUAUGUCAGCAGUAAGUAUUGAAUCAAAUCCAUAAGAAGGGUUAUUUCAUAGCACCCACUGCAACCACAAACAAGUAGCAGACCACAUUCCUUUGUAACAGAUGGUUGUCACCAUGGCAGAACCACCUUCACCUUAUUUCCUCUUGAGAGCCCUUUCUCUCAAGGGAACCCCAAAUCAGUUACUGUCAGGCAGAGACUUAGAGCCAACACAAAUGUCUUCAUUCUUCCUUUCAUUCCUGGUUCUGGUUCUUUAUACCUCCCUUGUCUGACCCUAUGUUUACCAAGUUCUCAACAAUGGUUAAUUUAUACUAGUUUGGGUGCUUUCAUGGGCAACUGUGUCUCUUACUCUCAGCAGCACUAGAAAGUAAUCCCAUCCUACAAGGUCACACUGAGAGAUGAAAUGAGGGGAACUGGCCUGGCAGGGCACACCCCUGGGUGCCAAACCCCACAGGGGAAAGGAAUUUUUUCAUUUUUAUUUAGAGCUCUUUGCUGAGAUCUCCCCUAGAUCUUUCCUGAGCUUGCUGAA